CUCAAGUUCUCCCCAGGUGUGUCCUGGCGCAGAGUGGGCCUGGGCAGAACCUGGGAGAGAAAUGAACAGAACCUGGCCGUGGAAUAGGCUCCGAGGCCAGAGCGUUCUCAGCCUCAGCCCUUUGUCUGCGGCUUUGUGAUGGUAAGUGCUGCUCCUAAAUCAGGUCUGUGACACUGUUAUUGUUGCCCAGGGCGCAAAGAGUCUAAACUUUUCCCCUGAGGUCAAGAAUGUGGCCAGUCCCCAAGCCGCCCAGAGCAAGGCCUGGGUGGCUGGGGGUGGGGCUGGGGCCUCACCCUGAGCCCGGGCGAGAUGUGUGGAGGGGAGGGGGUCAGGAGGAACAAAACGCUUUGAAAUGCCUCCUCUCCAUCACUGCCAACAUUGUCCGCUGCCCGCGGGGGGCCUGGCACCGCCUCGCCGGGGCUCCGGCCCCCAGCCCUGGCCAGGCCUGGCCCAGCAUCUGAAAAUGGACAGAAGCUCUGGAGACAGAAAGGCUGAGAGGGAGUCACUAACCCCAAGCCAGGCAGCCAGGAGGCAGCACAGCUGGGAUCCUCGCCCAGGCCAACCGCAGCACCAGGAGGAGUAAUCACUAAUAAAUACUUGGAAGGUGCCUUGGCCCAACUCUUCA